GAUGAAGAACGCAGCGAAAUGCGAUAAGUAAUGUGAAUUGCAGAAUUCAGUGAAUCAUCGAAUCUUUGAACGCGCAUUGCGCCCGCCAGUAUUCUGGCGGGCAUGCCUGUUCGAGCGUCAUUUCAACCAUCAAGCCCCAGGCUUGUGUUGGGGACCUGCGGCUGCCGCAGGCCCUGAAAACCAGUGGCGGGCUCGCUGUCACACCGGGCGUAGUAGAUUUUAUCUCGCUCUGGGCGUGCUGCGGGUUCCGGCCGUUAAAAAACCCUUUUAACCCAAGGUUGACCUCGGAUCAGGUAGGAAUACCCGCUGAACUUAAGCAUAUCAAUAAGCGGAGGA
rnacentral:misc_RNA from 1 species